CCCGUCUGCUGGCUUGGCUUGGCACGGCGCAGUCUGCUGGCUUGGCUUGGCACGGCGCAGUCUGCUGGCUUGGCUUGGCACGGCGCAGUCUGCUGGCUUGGUGGAAUGUUGGACAAUGUAAUAUACGAUGACAUCCUGAUCAUCAAUCUGCAGUGUUCUCUCUCGCUCGUCUUUCACUUCUCUCUCUCUCGUCUCCUUUGCUCUCUUCACGACAACAGGAGCAAAUCGUUGAAUGACAUCAGGCGGUUCCCGUCGCCUACGCAAGUGGUGCGCCAGGUUUCUGAGGGUGGCAUGGAGCUGAGCCCCAGCGCCGUGAGCCAAGACCAGCUGCAGAUGGCCAGAGCCCGGGUCCACGAGAGUGAGGCCAAGUGGCACAAUGACCUGACCAAGUGGAAGCUCCGGCGGCACAGGUCUAACUGUGACCUGCGGAGGAAGAUGCAGGAGAGGGACAACAUCGUCCUGAUGGCCAACGCAGGGGUCAGUACAGUCGGGACGUUCAAUAGUCUGCAAGAGGACAGGGAAGAGGAUGAGUCCCUGUGCAGCAAUGGCCACAAGGUCUCUCCGUCCACCGCGUUCAAGGAGGGGUCCCUGGAGCUCCGACCCCACACCAGAGCCCCCACCUCGGUAAGUGAGGGUUCCCUGGUGCUCCGACCCCACACCAGAGCCCCCACCUCGGUAAGUGAGGGUUCCCUGGAGCUCCGACCCCACACCAGAGCUCCGCUGGCCCUCAGCUCCUCUGUGGAGUCACCCUACAGCCCCGUAGCGUCGGAACCCUUCACCGCCCCCAGCGUGACCCUCCAGGGACCCGGAGCCGUGCCCCAAUCAGAGCCCCUCGUCCUAGGGGGGAGGAGUCACACACUGGUGGAGCCAGACGGAGCUGGAGGAUUGGUCACUUUCCCCAACUCUGCCUCUCCCAUCUCCUCCCAGACCAUCUCUAGCCCAGCUCUCUUCAUCGCCACUGGACGAGACCACAACGUCUCCUUGCUCUCAAAUGGGAUCCCGACGACCCUCCCUGGAUCUAGCUCCAGUCUUACUACUGGUACCAGUUCUUCUCUAACUACCUCUGACCCGGUGAACGGUACCAGCUCUAACCUAACCAUCGAUACCGGCCCCUGUGCCUCCAUGGACAUCCCAGACCACGUCCUCCUCUCUACUGUAGAGUCCCUGACCUCGGUGGGAGCCUCGGGUCAUGUCUCAGCUCCCCAGCAGCAGGAGCUUCCCCUCUACAGGUACAGCUCCAGGGCUCCGGGAGGAAGAGGAAGAGGGGCAUCUGCCUCUCUCCCCAGGGGAUACCGCCGGUCUGAGGGCUCWUCGUCCUGCCUCUCUGCCGGCUUCACCCCCCGACCGUUUGGAGCCAAGUCCUCCAGAGUGUCCUCGCUACCCAGGCUCUACAAUUUGGAGAAGACUGCUUCCACACGCCCCCAGAAAAUGGUCACUAUCUCAGAGGUCGCUGUCAGGGCUCUGCCCUGGGCCACAGCCAAUCGGAGCAGUGUGAACCAGGAAGUAGAGGGUGGGAUUCAGACCCAGCCCUCCAUCCUGAAGACCAGAGGGGUUCCUGGACCUGCCACCCACCCCAAACCCUUACCCCCUUCUCUCCUGCCCAGCAUCCCUGUCUCAGUCAGACAGAAUGGCUCUGCACAGGUACGUCACAGUGACAGAGUGAGUCUUACCUUGAAGAUUAACAGUCGACCACACUUUGGUUUCAACACUCACUGGGACUCGACAGGAGCAAGAGUCGGAGGCAUCCAACCAGGUCCAACUUAUACCAGUGGAGAUGCAACGAUGGUGAAACUGGCCCAGAUCAACGGACAAAGGUCAAUGUGUGACACUUUUUUUUCAUACAAUCAGUGUUGACAUCUCUAACGCAUUUACUGACAUGAUUUGAGUGAUGAAGGAAACGGGUUCCAAAAACAUCCGAAUAAUGUAAAUCCCGUGUCUUUUCUUCUUAGGGGUGACCUCUAAGAGCGGAGGGAGGUUUUCAGGACGAUCCUCUGACUGUCCGAAGUAAAAGGUGAAUGAAUUGACUGGGGACUUGACGUGCCUUCAGGAAGUAUUCACACCCCUUGACUUGGUCCACAUUU
ensembl:lncRNA